CACGUAGGGGGCAAGCGUUGUCCGGAAUCACUGGGCGUAAAGGGUGCGUAGGCGGUAUGUCAAGUCAGGUGUGAAACCCCAUGGCUUAACUGUGGGCUUGCACAUGAAACUGGCAUGCUUGAGUGCAGGAGAGGAAAGCGGAAUUCCUAGUGUAGCGGUGAAAUGCGUAGAUAUUAGGAGGAACACCAGUAGCGAAGGCGACUCUCUGGGCAUUUCCUGACGCUCAUGCGCGAAAGCAAGGGGAGCAAACAGG
rnacentral:rRNA from 1 species